GGGAAUGUGGCUUAGUGGUAGAGUGCUUGUCUUGCAUGCAUGAAGCACUGGAUUCAAUUCCUCAGUACCA
rfam:Dipodomys ordii contig_29868, whole genome shotgun sequence.